UCGAGCGGAAACGACACUAACAAUCCUUCGGGUGCGUUAAUGGGCGUCGAGCGGCGGACGGGUGAGUAAUGCCUAGGAAAUUGCCUUGAUGUGGGGGAUAACCAUUGGAAACGAUGGCUAAUACCGCAUAAUGCCUACGGGCCAAAGAGGGGGAUCUUCGGACCUCUCGCGUCAAGAUAUGCCUAGGUGGGAUUAGCUAGUUGGUGAGGUAAUGGCUCACCAAGGCGACGAUCCCUAGCUGGUCUGAGAGGAUGAUCAGCCACACUGGAACUGAGACACGGUCCAGACUCCUACGGGAGGCAGCAGUGGGGAAUAUUGCACAAUGGGCGAAAGCCUGAUGCAGCCAUGCCGCGUGUAUGAAGAAGGCCUUCGGGUUGUAAAGUACUUUCAGUUGUGAGGAAGGGUGUGUAGUUAAUAGCUGCGCAUCUUGACGUUAGCAACAGAAGAAGCACCGGCUAACUCCGUGCCAGCAGCCGCGGUAAUACGGAGGGUGCGAGCGUUAAUCGGAAUUACUGGGCGUAAAGCGCAUGCAGGUGGUUCAUUAAGUCAGAUGUGAAAGCCCGGGGCUCAACCUCGGAACUGCAUUUGAAACUGGUGAACUAGAGUGCUGUAGAGGGGGGUAGAAUUUCAGGUGUAGCGGUGAAAUGCGUAGAGAUCUGAAGGAAUACCAGUGGCGAAGGCGGCCCCCUGGACAGACACUGACACUCAGAUGCGAAAGCG
rnacentral:rRNA from 1 species